rnacentral:rRNA from 1 species
CCUACGGGAGGUAGCAGUGAGGAAUAUUGGUCAAUGGGCGCGAGCCUGAACCAGCCAAGUAGCGUGAAGGAUGACUGCCCUACGGGUUGUAAACUUCUUUUAUCAAGGAAUAAAGUGAGGCACGUGUGCCUUUUUGUAUGUACUUUAUGAAUAAGGAUCGGCUAACUCCGUGCCAGCAGCCGCGGUAAUACGGAGGAUCCGAGCGUUAUCCGGAUUUAUUGGGUUUAAAGGGAGCGUAGAUGGGUUGUUAAGUCAGUUGUGAAAGUUUGCGGCUCAACCGUAAAAUUGCAAUUGAUACUGGAAGCCUUGAGUACAGUUGAGGUAGGCGGAAUUCGUGGUGUAGCGGUGAAAUGCUUAGAUAUCACGAAGAACUCCGAUUGCGAAGGCAGCUUACUAAACUGCAACUGACAUUGAUGCUCGAAAGUGUGGGUAUCAAACAGGAUUAGAUACCCGAGUAGUC